rnacentral:rRNA from 1 species
UCUUGUACUCACCGCCCGUCAACUCAAGGGAGAUGGGAGUACCCGAAGAAUCGCGCAAGCGGUGCCACGGUAAGCUCAUCGACAGGGAGU